UGCCCCUAACUUGACUGGAAAGAAGCGGCAGGGUGAAAAAAUAGCUUUGAAGUUGUAAUCUCGGUCUCGAAGAAAAUGGAGUGACGGUACCCGAAGAAGAAGCCCCGGCUAACUACGUGCCAGCAACCGCGGUAAAAGGGUGAGCGGUAACCGGGGG
rnacentral:rRNA from 1 species